rnacentral:rRNA from 1 species
UACGUAGGAGGCAAGCGUUGUCCGGAAUUACUGGGCGUAAAGCGCGUGUAGGUGGUGGGACAAGUCUGCUGUGAAAGCGCCGUGCUUAACCGGGCGAGGUCGGCGGAAACUGUCCGACUCGAGGACGGUAGAGGGGGGUGGAAUUCCCGGUGUAGUGGUGAAAUGCGUAGAGAUCGGGAGGAACACCUGUGGCGAAAGCGGCUCACUGGACCACAACUGACGCUGAGGCGCGAAAGCUAGGGGAGCAAACAGG